GAUGAACGCUGGCGGCGUGCCUAAUACAUGCAAGUCGAACGCUGAAGGAAGGAGCUUGCUCUUUCCGGAUGAGUUGCGAACGGGUGAGUAACGCGUAGGUAACCUGCCUGGUAGCGGGGGAUAACUAUUGGAAACGAUAGCUAAUACCGCAUAACAGUAGAUGUUGCAUGAUAUCUACUUAAAAGGUGCAAUUGCACCACUACCAGAUGGACCUGCGUUGUAUUAGCUAGUUGGUGAGGUAACGGCUCACCAAGGCGACGAUACAUAGCCGACCUGAGAGGGUGAUCGGCCACACUGGGACUGAGACACGGCCCAGACUCCUACGGGAGGCAGCAGUAGGGAAUCUUCGGCAAUGGACGGAAGUCUGACCGAGCAACGCCGCGUGAGUGAAGAAGGGUUUCGGAUCGUAAAGCUCUGUUGUAAGAGAAGAACGAGUGUGAGAGUGGAAAGUUCACACUGUGACGGUAGCUUACCAGAAAGGGACGGCUAACUACGUG
rnacentral:rRNA from 1 species